CCGUCGCUCCUACCGAUUGAAUGA
rnacentral:siRNA from 1 species